CUUUGGCGGCUCCGGCCGCCAAAGGACCUUCAAACUCCAGUCAGUAAACGCAGACGUCUGAUAAACAAGUUAAUAAACUAAAACUUUCAACAACGGAUCUCUUGGUUCUGGCAUCGAUGAAGAACGCAGCGAAAUGCGAUAAGUAAUGUGAAUUGCAGAAUUCAGUGAAUCAUCGAAUCUUUGAACGCACAUUGCGCCCCUUGGUAUUCCGGGGGGCAUGCCUGUUCGAGCGUCAUUACAACCCUCAAGCUCUGCUUGGAAUUGGGCACCGUCCUCACUGCGGACGCGCCUCAAAGACCUCGGCGGUGGCUGUUCAGCCCUCAAGCGUAGUAGAAUACACCUCGCUUUGGAGCGGUUGGCGUCGCCCGCCGGACGAACCUUCUGAACUUUUCUCAAGGUUGACCUCGGAUCAGGUAGGGAUACCCGCUGAACUUAAGCAUAUCAAUAAGCGGAGGAAAAGAAACCAACAGGGAUUGCCUUAGUAACGGCGAGUGAAGCGGCAAUAGCUCAAAUUUGAAAGCUGGCCCUUUUAGGGUCCGCGUUGUAAUUUGUAGAGGAUGAUUCGGCGAGGGCUCCCGUCUAAGUCCCCUGGAACGGGGCGUCAUAGAGGGUGAGAAUCCCGUAUGCGAUGGGUUGCCUUAGCCAUGUGAAUCUCCUUCGACGAGUCGAGUUAUUUGGGAAUGUAGCUCUAAAUGGGAGGUAAAUUUCUUCUAAAGCUAAAUACUGGCCAGAGACCGAUAGCGCACAAGUAGAGUGAUCGAAAGAUGAAAAGCACUUUGGAAAGAGAGUUAAAAAGUACGUGAAAUUGUUGAAAGGGAAGCGCUUGCAACCAGACYUGUCCGCAGUUGCUCAGCCGGUCUCCUGACCGGCGUACUCUUCUGCGGCCAGGCCAGCAUCAGUUCGGGCGGUCGGAUAAAGACCUCGGGA
rnacentral:rRNA from 1 species